UACAGAGGGUGCGAGCGUUAAUCGGAAUUACUGGGCGUAAAGCGUGCGUAGACGGUUAUUUAAGUCGGAUGUGAAAGCCCCGGGCUCAACCUGGGAAUUGCAUUCGAGACUGAAUAGCUAGGGUACGGUAGAGGGAAGUGGAAUUUCCGGUGUAGCGGUGAAAUGCGUAGAUAUCGGAAGGAACAUCAGUGGCGAAAGCGGCUCUCUGGGACGGUACUGACGCUGAGACGCGAAAGCGUGGGGAGCGAACAGG
rnacentral:rRNA from 1 species